ACAAACUUGGUCAUUUAGAGGAAGUAAAAGUCGUAACAAGGUCUCCGUUGGUGAACCAGCGGAGGGAUCAUUAAAAGAGUGUAACAACUCCCUAAACCCCUCUGUAGACUCUUGCAGUUGACGUAACUCUUCGGCGGGCUUCUUUUUCUCACGAGAAGAAAGACUGCCGAAGGGAAACCCAAACUCGUUUUAAUUUUUGCAGUCUGAGUUCUAUAAAAAAUACAUGAAAACUUUCAACAACGGAUCUCUUGGUUCUGGCAUCGAUGAAGAACGCAGC
rnacentral:misc_RNA from 1 species